rnacentral:rRNA from 1 species
GGUUGAUCCUGCCAGUAGUCAUAUGCUUGUCCUAAAGAUUAAGCCAUGCAAGUCCAAGUAUAAGCUGAUAUACGGUGAAACUGCGAAAGGCUCAUUAAAUCAGUGAUAAUUUACAUGAUGAGGAGGGAUACAUGGAUAACCGUGGUAAUUCUAGAGCUAAUACAUGCGGUGGGUCCCGGCUGGGAUUGCAUUUAUUAGAUAAAACCAACACAGGGGCAACCCCCUUGGAGAUGGCGAGUCAUGAUAACUGAGCGGAUCGUAUGGCCUUGCGCUGACGACGCAUCAUUCAAAUU